CUUUUUCUAAUCUGCCAUUAAAUUAUCCAUCUCCUUAAAAGAAUAUGAUCUUAACUACAGAUCUACAGGCAAAGCUGUCAACUCGUUUCCCCUGAACUUACACUGAAAAUAAAAAGUUGGCAUGCAAACUGUUGCUCCACUGUGAAGGGUUAAUGAAGAGGAAACAAAACAGAGCAUUAUUCUUCCACUGCCAUAAAUAUCUCUGUAUGGCUUACCUCCUCUCCCCGCCCUGAGCAGCAAGGCGAGUGUCAGGAAGGCACAUGUCAGAGCAGUUACACACACCUCGUAUCAGGGGAAAAUAAGCUCAGGGACUUGGGGCAGAAAGGGGAAGGAGGGAAAGGAGCGGGAGAAGAGGAGAGACUCAGAGUCGCCACUUUGGUGCUGUCUGCUACAUGAUCAGAGCUCACUGAGCCAUGAAACAAUAUUAGGCACCACUCGAAAGUAACUUCACACCAUACUUCUUAAUUCACCUUAGAUUACUUAAGUGCUUCUGCCGUUUGCUGUUAAAUAAAACACGGCUCACCACUUAGCGAGCCAAGCAGGGCAGACAAAAGGAGCGAGAUAUGCUAUACACCCCAAGGGCUGGGUGAAAAGUACAGAGCUCACGUUGCACAAGGAUUUCGGAGGGGAGGGGGAGAGGGAAGGAAUACACAAGGGGGCCCGAUUCUCUUUUCAUUUACGCCUAACAGCCAUGUAAUUCUGGCGACUCCCCGUGCAGUUAGUCCCAAUUCACUCCUGAUUCACAGCGACACAACUCCACUGACUCCAGUGCAAUUAAUCCGGAUCUACACCAACAGAAUCCCAUCGUCUCCAGUGGAGAUACUCCUGAUCUGCAGGAGUGUGGUGUAUCAGAGAAUCAGCGCCCAUCUGUUAUUAUCAGCUGUACAAUGAAAGAGAGAGGGAAGAGGGGGGGACACACACAAUCAAACACACCAUGGAAUCUCCUUACCUGAGCGGCCAAUGUGGCUUGAAGGCGAGCGCUCUUGGAGCUGUUCCAGCGGCCGAUGGAUGUCGUCCCCAGCAUGGUAUGCCUGGUGUAGGCCAGCACAGAACGCAGCAAGUAGCCUAGCGCCUGGAUCACAGUCGGAGGGCAUUGCUGGGGGCCCCGGCCCAACGACGAUAACGAGAGAAUCGGAGCCGCGGACACGCUCUGAGCAUGGGGCUCCCCCUCCGGCCUGAAAGGAGCGCUCCCAAUGCAGCGCCUGGAAUCCGGCCCAGACCGGCGCCGUCUAGGGGGUCUGCAAGCACAUGGCCCAACUCCCGCUCCCCUCAAUGACAGCGGGGCCAGGCCAGAGCAGGAGAGAAAAGACCCCUGGCGCUUAGCCCUACCGCAAGGAGCUCUCCACACGCCUUCAUUUCACACCCAGUUUGCUUCCACCCCAGCCAAACCGGGAGCAUCUCUCAUCUGCACGGCUGCACAUUAACGGCAUCAGAAGGGCACAAUCCAGGAAGGGAGGCUAGAGACGACGUGGCUCACGCUAAAGCACUGAACGGGGCCCAGGCCUGCACUGCCAGGUUGGCGGGCGGGGAGUGGCGCGCUUCUCCCAGCCUUUGCAGAGUAGGAGGUCAAAGCUGGGGUCCUUUGGUUCCCCAGUGAGGAGAGCCUUAAUCUAAUGCCCAACAUGCUGAGCUGGCUGGCUCAGGAUGGGCCCACUGACUCACUCCCUCCCCUGAAGAUGGCUGCUUGGCAGCCGCUGGGAAACGAGCAGGUCACCUCCCUCCAUUUCCAGCUGGCCCAGCGGCCCUCAGGCUGGCAGGCUCCAUGGCGAGGUGGAGGAGAGGAUGGAUGUGGAAACUGUCUGCGUCCUCUCGUUCCUACAGGUCACACUGAGCGCAUUGGCAGGGAGUGGGUGGCGGCCGAAGGCUGCCUGCUUUGUGCGCCAAAUCGCCAGCGCCAUUCUCCUGACAUGAGGCAACUCCCCCCACCUUCUCCCCAGCCUGGGGCCUUUGGCAGCACCCCCGGCCUCAUCCUGCACCCCCGUCCCUCCCCGCCCAGCCCAGCCCCUUCAAUCCGCUGUGUAAACAGCCCUGCCACCAGUGCAGGGAAAUCCCCGCUCGAGAGCGAGGCCCACUGAGAGGAAGUGACUCACCCGAGGUCAGUGCUAGAGCUGGGAACAGGCCGGGGGAGGCCGAUUCCCAUCCCGAGCCUGAGCCCCCCAGCCCGUGCAGCCGCUGCUUCCACCUGGUGCUCUCGCUCUGCUGUGGUUUGUGCCCGCGCCCCUCCCGCCCCUUUCACAACGGCAUCCCCCAUAAAUCACUUGGCCGCUCAGCAGAGCACUGUCACGGUACAGAUCUGCGGGGCUCCCCCCCCCCCGCCAUCCUGGUGCAGCUGGGCCUCCUGCACGAAGGUCGCACCGGAAGGUGAGAUGGCUGCCAAACCAGCAGCCAUUUAAAGCAGCCGAUUAAUAAUUCAGCACGUUUACCGAAGGCGGGGAGGAGAGGGGGGCACUGGAGCUGCUGGCUCCGCCAUCCAUCGAUCUAACACACCCACCUGGGUGCUAGAAGCGGGGAGGUCAAGACUGAGAGCAGCCAGACAGAUCCAGAAAUCACUCCUAACAGGACAUGAUUUUUAUAACCCUGUUUUGGCACGUCCACCGUUAACUUAAUUUACCAUCCAUAUUGCUGCUACUUAAUUAAAUAGAUGAACUCAU